AGAGUGCGUAACAGCUCACUGGUCUAGUGGUUCCGCGCCGACAAUGUAGCGGGGCUCAAGCACACCACCGAAGACGCGGCAGCAAUCUUCAUGGUUGCUGGGUAGGAGAGCGUCCUGCAUGGGGCGAAGCGGCCGGGUAACCGUGCCGUGGACCGUGUGGGAGUGAGAAUGCAGACAUGAGUAGCGAGAGACGGGUGAGGAUCCCGUCCGCUGGAUGACCAAGGGUUCCGGGGCCACGUUCGUCGUCCCCGGGUGAGUCGGGUCCUAAGGCGAGGCCGACAGGCGUAGUCGAAUGGAUGAACGGGUGGAUAUUCCCGUACCGACCAUGGACCGGCAAAACCGAGACGGUGAGUACUAACCUCCGCCUCGUGGUGGUUCCUUCCUUCGGGUUGGUUCCGCCGCGUGGUGUUGGGAGCGUAGCCGCAGUAGGUCAGCGCAGGGGUGACACGGAAUGGGAGCCGGCCGCGGAGGUGGUUUUCCGUGGUCAAGCACGCAGCCAGUCAUGUAGGCAAAUCCGCAUGGCGUGCAUGGCGAGGUGUGAUGAUGGGAGCCGUUAUGGCUCGAUAUCCGGUUGUCCAGGCCGUCGAGAAAAGCCUCGGCGUGAGGGCCAUGGCCGCCCGUACCCCAAACCGACACUGGUGGUCAGGUAGAGAAUACCAAGGCGAUCGAGCGAAUCCUGGUCAAGGAACUCGGCAAAUCACUCCCGUGCCUUCGGUAUAAGGGAGACCCGCUGGGGUGAACCGGCUAGCCCGGGGAGCUUUGGUGGGUGGCACAGACCAGGGGGUAGCGACUGUUUACCAAAAACACAGGUGCAUGCGAAGGCGAAAGCCGCUGUAUAUGCACUGACGCCUGCCCGGUGCCGGAAGGUUAAGAGGAUCCGUCAGUCCUUCGGGAUGAAGCGGUGAAUUCAAGCCCCGGUAAACGGCGGUGGUAACUAUAACCAUCCUAAGGUAGCGAAAUUCCUUGUCGGGUAAGUUCCGACCUGCACGAAUGGCGUAACGACUUCCCCACUGUCUCGACCAGGAGCUCGGCGAAAUUGCAGUACGAGUAAAGAUGCUCGUUAAGCGCAGAAGGACGAAAAGACCCCGGGACCUUUACUAUACCUUGGUAUUGGCGUUAGGCGCGGAUUGUGUAGCAUAGGCGGGAGGCUUCGAAGCGGGUGCGCCAGCAUUCGUGGAGCCGCAAGGUGAAAUACCGCUCUGUUCUCGUUUGACGUCUAACCUCGACAAGUCAUCCUUGUCAGGGACAGUGCCUGGCGGGUAGUUCAACUGGGGCGGUUGCCUCCCAAAGAGUAACGGAGGCGCUCAAAGGUCCGCUCAGCCCGGUUGGCAAUCGGGUGUCGAGUGUAAUCGCACAAGCGGGCUUGACUGCGAGGACGACGGUCCGAGCAGGGACGAAAGUCGGAGAUAGUGAUCCGGUGCCGGCGCACGGGCGCGGCAUCGCUCAACGGAUAAAAGGUACCCCGGGGAUAACAGGCUGAUCAUUCCCAAGAGUCCAUAUCGACGGGAUGGUUUGGCACCUCGAUGUCGGCUCGUCGCAUCCUGGGGCUGGAGCAGGUCCCAAGGGUUCGGCUGUUCGCCGAUUAAAGCGGCACGCGAGCUGGGUUCAGAACGUCGUGAGACAGUUUGGUCUCUAUCCUCUGCGCUCGUUGGAAUCCUGAGGAGGCCUGCCCAUAGUACGAGAGGACCUGGGUGGACGAACCUCUGGUAUGCCGGUUGUCGCGCCAGCGGCACGGCCGGUUGGCUACGUUCGGGAGGGAUAACCGCUGAAAGCAUCUAAGCGGGAAGCCUGCUCCAAGAUUAGGAUUCCGUACGGUCUUGAACCGUUGU
rnacentral:rRNA from 1 species